CCGUGAUUAUUAUUUUUAAUAAGACAUCUAUAGAUAAAAGCUUAAGUAUACCCUGGUGAAUUCAAUGUUGUGAUGUCACAGCAGAUCUUAGAAUACAGAAAGUUGUUACUUAUAACGAUAUUUUUAUGAAUUGACAAAAAAAAAGUUUGUCCCGAGUAACUUCCCCCCUCUAUGAUUUGGUAUUGCCGAAGUGGGAGUCUAAAGUUUAAAAAAAAAACGCGACCUAACAGACUACGGAACAGCAGACAGUGGAUACAACAUUUGAUAUGUUUUAAAGACACCGUUGGACACAAAAUGAUUGCACUGGAUAAUUUCAACUACCACAUGAUACCCUAUGAACUAAUUGACAUACUUGAACUCGUCUUAGGAAUAUAUUCUCAGUGAACAAAAACGAAUUCAGUAAAUGUUUACUAUAAAACAGUCAACAGACUUGCUGUCUUGUGGCUUGUAUUGUUUAAUUCAUUUUUAAAGCAACAUUUGAUCGAUUGUUGGUGGCUUAACGUCCAGUGGCAAACAUUUCAUGCAUAUUCUAGACGAGAAGUAGUUUUAGAAAUUAUUAGGUUUAACAAAUGUGAAAAUGCUCUCAUCAUUUUGCAAAAGGAUAUUUUUAAGCUAUUAAAAUUGGUACGUCAUAUAUUUUUCUGACAGAAUUACAUAUUUUGCUCCAAAUCAACACAUACGGUUCUGAUCACAUUAAGAACAUUGCCAUUUUAAUAUUUUAGCCGGGAACUUAUUGUUAGGGUUCACCUGAGAAGGAAGGAAUAUAUACAUUGUAUUUAUGUGUGUAGUUCAUGAUGUUCAAACUAUAUGUAUACUAGACUAUACUAUUAUUGUUAUUGUCUUAUUUAUGUCAUACAUUGUGUACUAUGCUCUUUGUGAGCUGUUUUGAUGGAAAUUACAAUCUUGGUUUUUUCUUGCCACUUAAGUCUCGGUAAUUAUUGAUAUAUUAGGGCUUUUGAACCCGCAUAAACCCGCUGCAUUUG
rnacentral:lncRNA from 1 species